AAAGAGUGCGUAAUAGCUCACUAGUCGAGAGGUCCUGCGCCGAAAAUGUCCGGGGCUGAAACACACUACCGAAGCUUGGGAAUUGACGAAUGUUAAUUGGUAGAGGAGCAUUCUUAACGGGGCGAAGCUGUACCGGAAGGAGCAGUGGACUGUUAAGAAGAGAGAAUGCCGGAAUGAGUAGCGAGAGGAAGGUGAGAAUCCUUCCGGCCGAAUAUCUAAGGUUUCCAGAGUAAAGCUGAUCUGCUCUGGGUAAGUCGGGGCCUAAGGCGAGGUCGAAAGACGUAGUCGAUGGAUAACAGGUAAAGAUUCCUGUACUAUAUCAUAACAGAACUGUGGGGACGCAGACAGAGAGCAUAAGCCGGGAAUGGAAAAACCGGUACAAGCGAGGUAGGAGUGCAUCAGGCAAAUCCGGUGCACAAUCUGAAGACGUGAUGUGGGGCGUAAAGCCGGAAGUAUGUGAGCUGGCUGCCAAGAAAAGCCGCUAUUGUUUAUGAUAUACCCGUACCGUAAACCGACACAGGUGGAUGAGGAGAGAAUCCUAAGGCCGACGGGAGAAGCAUUGUUAAGGAACUCGGCAAAAUGACUCCGUAACUUCGGGAGAAGGAGUGCCAGUGAGAGCUGGCCGCAGAGAAUUGGCCCAAGCAACUGUUUAGCAAAAACACAGGUCUAUGCAAAACCGAAAGGUGAAGUAUAUGGGCUGACGCCUGCCCGGUGCUGGAAGGUUAAGGGGAGAGGUUAGCGGUAACGCGAAGCUUUGAACUUAAGCCCCAGUAAACGGCGGCCGUAACUAUAACGGUCCUAAGGUAGCGAAAUUCCUUGUCGGGUAAGUUCCGACCCGCACGAAAGGCGUAAUGAUUUGGGCACUGUCUCAACAAUGCACCCGGUGAAAUUGAAAUACCAGUGAAGAUGCUGGUUACCUGCGCCAGGACGGAAAGACCCCAUGGAGCUUUACUCCAGCUUGAUACUGGGAUUCGAUAUUGCAUGUACAGGAUAGGUGGGAGACUAGGAAGUGGUGACGCCAGUUGCCGCAGAGUCGCUGUUGGGAUACCACCCUUGCAGUAUUGGAUUUCUAACCAGCAGCCGUGAACCGGCUGGGGGACAAUGUCAGGUGGGGAGUUUGACUGGGGCGGUCGCCUCCGAAAGGGUAUCGGAGGCGCUCAAAGGUUCCCUCAGAAUGGUUGGAAACCAUUCGAAGAGUGCAAAGGCAGAAGGGAGCUUGACUGCGACACCGACGGGUGGAGCAGGUACGAAAGUAGGACUUAGUGAUCCGGUGGUAUAAAGUGGGAUUGCCAUCGCUCAACGGAUAAAAGCUACCCUGGGGAUAACAGGCUUAUCACUCCCAAGAGUUCACAUCGACGGAGUGGUUUGGCACCUCGAUGUCGGCUCAUCGCAUCCUGGGGCUGAAGUAGGUCCCAAGGGUUGGGCUGUUCGCCCAUUAAAGCGGUACGCGAGCUGGGUUCAGAACGUCGUGAGACAGUUCGGUCCCUAUC
rnacentral:rRNA from 1 species